rnacentral:rRNA from 1 species
UACUAGAUGGGUGGAGUGGCGAACGGGUGAGUAAUGCGUAGGAAUAUACCUUAAAGAGGGGGAUAACCUGGAAACUCAGGCUAAUACCGCGUAAUCUCCGAGGAGAAAAGCUGGGGACCUUCGGGCCUGGCUUUAAGAAUAGCCUGCGUCCGAUUAGCUAGUUGGUGGGGUAAAGGCCUACCAAGGCCGAUCGGUAGCUGGUCUGAGAGGAUGAACAGCCACACUGGGACUGAGACACGGCCCAGUCCUACGGGAGGCAGCAGUGGGGAAUAUUGGACAAUGGGGGGAACCCUGAUCCAGCAACCGCGUGUGUGAAGAAGGCCUGGGGGUUGUAAAGCACUUUCAGUGGGGAGGAGGAUUAAGGUUAAGAGCUAAUUAAUUGGACGUUACCCACAGAAGAAGCACCGGCUAACUCCGUGAGCAGCCGCGGUAAUACGGAGGGUGCGAGCGUUAAUCGGAAUUACUGGGCGUAAAGGGCGUAAGUGGUCAAUUAAGUUAGAUGUAAAAACCCUGGGCUUAACCUGGGGCUGAGAUUAUACUGGUUGACUGGAGUAUUGGAGAGGGUAGUGGAAUUUCCGGUGUAGCGGUGAAAUGUAGAGAUCGGAAGGAACACCAGUGGCGAAGGCGGCUACCUGGCCAGAUACUGACACUAGCACGAAAGCGUGGGGAGCAAACAGGAUUAGAUACCCUGGUAGUCCACGCUGUAAACUGUCAACUAGCCGUUGGUCAUAUUAAGAUGAUAAGUGGCGCAGCAAACGCGAUAAGUG